GGUUAUUAUUUGAAAUACUAGUUUGAAGAAAAAAAAAGCACUUACAAUGCUCCACUCGGACCAAAUUUUCCAAGCGUAGCUGCAAUCGUAGCUCCUACUGCAGGAACACCGAAAACAUAUACCAAAAGUCGAUAAUCCCAUCGACCGAAAUCUAUCUGUUUUCGAAAAUAUAUUAAUACAAACACAUUUAUUGCAACAAUAUUGACCAUUAAGUUUUGAGCUGUUACGAAUUCUGCUAAUAUGAAUCCGUAAAAUGCACAUAGAGAUUUCGGCAUUGGGAAAGAUUUUGUAACAACAAUGUGUGUGUGAUCACAAAAAUGUGAAAUGUUAAACAAAGCAUCACAUAGUGCCAUGUACACAACAAAUCUUUCACUUUUAGUCCAUUGGAAGAACGUAGAACAUUUUUGGUGAUAGAAAGAAUACCCAAUUACUGCUACUGCACAUAAGAAACUGAUGCAUAUACAUGUUAUAGCUGGAAUAUGAACUAUGUAAAAAGUUCCGUCACUAAUUCCAUAAACAGGUAUAUCGUAACCGUCAACAAGGCGAACCUCUUGUCUGUCUAGUAUUGUAACAUUACCAUUGGAAGUUGUACUGACAUAAGACAUAUUUGAU
rnacentral:lncRNA from 1 species